CACGAUAUUCCCCAUGCCAAGUGUUGUGUCUAUCACACAAUUACAAAAUCGAUCUCGCUGAGUAGUGAUUAUUCCUGAUCGCUAGAAUUCCACUGUUUAUGCUGGACGUUUAUUGAAAACGGUAGGUAAUUUAAAAAUCAACGGCCCAAUUCUGGUGUGUCUGUUUUGGAAUUGGCUUACAUUCCUGUGAUGACGGCAGGACAAAACACAGAAAGGUAAACAGUUACUUUCUCAUAAAUAUCGCUUUGAUUUACGUACUAGUAUAUUUAAUAGAUACGUAAAUGGAAUAGAUUAAAGUUGGUCUGGUACCCGUAAUUUUCUCUUGACACACUAUCUACUGUCUAUCAACAACCCAAAACUUCGAAAACAGUAAAAUUUGUUGACUCAAAAGCGGUGCUCCACUUCACCACUUCACUAAGGCAUGGGUGGAAUCUGGGUAGAAAAACAGACACGUUACUCAUUUGUUCUUUGUACAAUUUAGAAACAGCAGUAGAUUUACAUGCUGUCCAGUGUCAGCCAUGUCUCUCCAGAUAGCAAGCGAGUGUUUCUUCCCAUGCUUUUCCUUCAGUAUACAGCGUCUAAGAUGUACAGUUUUAACUUGCAUCAAAUGAAGUCGAUUUCAAAUACGGCAGUUUAGUUCUAGAAAAAAAUAAACAGUUUUUUUGGAGAUUGUAUACUCUUAGUUCAUUCCACAUAUAGUUUAUAAUAGUACUAAAUUGCAAUCUUACCACUGACAAAACAGGCAACUGAGCCGGUGGCAUUUUCUGCGUAAAUUAACAGAAUUUAACUCGGUUUUCGGGACAAAAGAAAUAAAUUAGGUGGAAAGCUUAUAAAAUACAAUCAUUCGUAAUUUGCUCUGUAAAGGCAGUUUCGGGGGCAUUUAUAAAGUAUGUCAAGACAAAAUUACAGGUACUGAAACAAGUUUGGUCCAUCAAAAUUACUUAUCUAUUAACCAUUUGUAUAUCAAAGCGAUAUUUGAUACACUAUCACGUUUGAAAGAAAAGGCAUGCAUGUGUUCGGCCGCCAUCAUGUGUAGUUUCUGUCAAUUCCAAACAAAGAUCAUGUCAAUCACGACAGUGGAAUAGUACAUAGGACGCACCCGGGAAAGGUUUAGAGCAAAGGGUAGACGUUGUAAAGCAGCAAAUUUUAAAUGUCAGUCGCGGAAGUAUAAAACCGUUAAGUCCGCAUUUUUCUUGUCUGUUGGUAUUCGUUGUUGUAUAUGAAUCCCUCAAGAAGUUUACAGUGGUCUCGUCAACUUCUUAAUGAUCUUAAGAGUGUUUAAUCACACACCUAAAGUAAGACUUAUUUGUCAUGUCAUGUUGAGAGUGGCUGAAGGUAAAUAUUCUGAAUCAAAUGUAAUCAAAAUUAUCGCAUGUUUAUAUUUCAAGGUGUUUGAAACUUUUCUACAGGAGAAUAAGUCUUUUUUUAUGUUCAUGGAUCACCUUUCACUGGAAUUCAAACCUUUUUCGGAAGUAGAAAAAGUAACGUGUCCGCGCAUAGCUAGCAAAACGUCAUAUGAGAUAUGAAAUAAAUUAUUAUAGAGGGACAAAACUAUUUUUUGAUUUGUACUUGUAUCAUGUGAAUCUGUAAUAAGCUUUAUGCAAAGCUCAUUAGAUUGGGUCUGGUGUUUAUAUUUUAUGUUUUGUAUAUGCAUCUAUCAUAUAUGUCACUUACUUACUGACGGACGGACGGACGGACGGACUCACUCACUCACUCACUCACUUACUUACUUACCUACAUUAUAGUCUUUAACUUGUCCGUUUUAUAUUUCAGUUGUCAUAUCGAGAAAUAUAUUUAUUGGUAGUUGCAAAACAGCUUUAGAAUUUACAAACCAUGACUCAUUUUUACGUUAAUAUACGAUGGAGUUUUUCUAACUAAUUCAUUUGGCCAACCGUGCGAAGCUUUUGUUGAAAUAAAACAUGCUGCAAACACGACUUUCAAAAUAUGUGUAAAGCUAAAUUCGGGAUACGACAGGUGUAGACAGUCUUUCAGAUUUUACCAUGCAGAGGAUCUUGUAAACCAUAGGUUCUAUUACCAGAAAGAUAAACAAGAGCUGUUUGUAAAAUAUGUAUGAAAGAAAGAAAGAAUGAUAUUAAUAUUAUUAUCAUCAUUAUUGUCAUCAUCAUUUAAUAUUAAAUAAAAUGAUUCCUACACAAGCAGUUAAGCACAUCCCAUAGCUUGUAAAACAUUGUUCUAGUACUCUUCUCUCAUGUGACACACUUCAUGUACUUCCUGUGCAACUUAUUUUUUAGGACAACUACUGUGAACAAAUUCAGUAUCACGCUAUUUGUCAAAAGUCUGAUGCAUUGUUUGUUGAAUUUCAACCUUGGAACAAAACAAUAUAUUCAGAAGACUUAAUAAUAGAUGUAUCUGACGAAGCACCUGGUAGCGCAACUUUGUAUGUUGGCAUUAUGGUUGGCUGUAUUGUUGUCGGGGGCGUUGUAGCCGCCUACGCUGUUCGGCAGUGCUUUACUUCCCGAAGUGACAGAAGACAAACUGUUGAUCAACCACGAUCACAGCUGGCACAUAACAAUACGCUAGAUGAUUCACGAGAAUAUCGGUGUCCUGAUAAUUCUCCUAUGCCGCCACAAUAUGCCGACGUUAUGGCUGCCGAAAAUCGAGUCAACAACGUCAUCAGUACACAUAAUGGAGAUAUUUUAGAUGCAAGAAAUGACUUUUAUUUCAUAAGGAGCUAUCAUUCAUAUGGUUUGUACUAAGUAUGCUAGUUUGUCUAAAGGAGAAAUGACUAUUAUACCUAUUUCAUUCCUAUUAUAGUUUACUCAAUUUUGUAUAUGUCAUUUCACAAACUUUCGCCGCGAUUAAUGGGACUACCAUCUAACGAACUAUUAUAUAUCUACUGGGAAU